UACGAAGGGUGCAAGCGUUAAUCGGAAUUACUGGGCGUAAAGCGUGCGCAGGCGGUUCGUUGUGUCGGCGGUGAAAGCCCCGGGCUCAACCUGGGAAUGGCCGUUGAAACUGGCGAACUGGAGUGUGGCAGAGGGGGGUGGAAUGCUUGGUGUAGAGGUGAAAUUCGUAGAUAUCAAGCGGAACACCGGUGGCGAAGGCGGCCUUCUGGACAGUGACUGACGCUGAGAUGCGGAAGCGUGGGGAGCAAACAGG
rnacentral:rRNA from 1 species